UUUGAAUGGCCGCAGUAUUUUGACUGUGCAAAGGUAGCAUAAUCAUUAGUUUUUUAAUUGAAAGCUGGAAUGAAAGGUUUGAUGAGAAAAUAACUGUCUCUGUAUAAAUGUUUUAGAACUUCAAUUUUAAGUGAAAAAGCUUAAAUUUUCUAUAAAGACGAGAAGACCCUAUAGAGUUUUAUAUUUUAGUAAUUAUAAGAGCUUAGGAUUUUAUUUUAUUAUUAUUAUUAAUGUAUUUUGUUGGGGUGAUGGAAAAAUUGAAUUAACUUUUUUUUGUUUAUAACAUUGAUUUAUGAAUAUUUGAUCCUUAUUUUUGGAUUAUAAGAUUAAAUUACCUUAGGGAUAACAGCGUAAUUUUUUUUGGAGAGUUCUUAUCGAUAAAAAAGUUUGCGACCUCGAUGUUGGAUUAAAAUUAAAUUUUGGUGUAGAAGCUAAAAUUUUAGGUCUGUUCGACCUUUAGAAUUUU
rnacentral:rRNA from 1 species